rnacentral:pre_miRNA from 1 species
CUAUUACUACCUCCGUCCCAUAUUAAGUGUCGCAAUUUUGUCUAUAUAUGCAUAUCUCUAGACGCAUUUUAGUGUGUAUGUACAUGCGUAUCUAGACAGUUGCGACACCUAAUAUGAGACAGAGGGAGUAUUUU